rnacentral:lncRNA from 1 species
UCCUCCCUUCUCUUUUCUGCAAACCACAAACCUUAAAUCUUACCUUGGGAGACAUCAUGGGAGAUUGCUUGGUAAUUUGUCCCGGUAGUUCCAUGGGGCUUACCGGCCUGUUUCCAGCCAGCCCCAUGAAAGCAAAGGCAUGAGAGGGACUAUGCAAGGCUGCCAGGGAUUCCCUGUCUACUCUGGGCCCAUCCCACUAAGCAUGAGGCCCUGAUACAUGUUGGCCAGAGGAGGCUGCCUGCUGCUCCCCAUUUCACAAUAUCUUGAUGAAAUGUGGUUCAAAAGGGCACCAAUGAGGCUUACACAAUCCCCCACUCCUUCAGGAUUAAGAAACUAAAGCAUGUUUCUGGCUCCUCUGCAGCCCAAAUGGGGAAUCCUAUCAACUCCAUAGCCCCUUGGAACUCCCAGUGGGGGAAACCUAAAACCGAGGCCCACUUUAGCCUUCUUUCCCCGAGGAACUCUUAUUGGCCUGCUCUAUGUUAGCUUUCCAUUAUUGCACUGGUCUGGCAAUCCAGGUGACAAAAAUCUAGCAGAGCCAUUCUGGGAAUACAGGUGAAGUGGCUGCGACAGUGGUACAUCUUCAGAAAGUUACGGUUCCAACACUAAUAAAUGAAGGGGUUGGAUUUCACUCUGUUGAUGGUUCCGAUACCCAGAUAUAUUUGGCAACCAUUUCCCUAGACUCACUCUAAGACUUUACUGAUCAACACCUCUGUUAAUGACCCCAAAUCUGUACGUGGACAAGAGCUGUAAAUACAACAUGAAAUAUUAGCCAGUGUGAAAAGCCUUCUGUUAUCUUAUCGAUGUAAGGAUUUGCAGUAUGAUCUUAUUACUUCUCUCUCUCAUCACUCAUUUUCUCCCUCUGAACAUGCGGAAGAGAUUAAAUAGCUAAAGAGAGCAAAUGACUACAUUCUAAUGCAGAAGGCUAUUGGAUCAAACCCUCUAUUUUUCUGUGUACUUUUUGAUGGCCUGUAAAUUGACUUAAUCAAACUGGAAAUGUAUAUGCUAUCUAAAUAAUCU